AACCUUAUGGACCUGCGGGCGUAUACCUGCGGAGGGAUCAUUACCGAGUAAUUGGGUCUUCUAGGCCCUAACUCACCACCCUUUUGUGUACCAAUUUACCAAUUGUUCAGUUGCUUUGGCAGGUGCUCCUCCAUUUACUUUCGGGGGACCCUGCCAUUGGAACCACUUUUAAAACUCUUGUUAUUACGUGUCUGUCUGAGUAAAAACAAAAAUUAUUAAAACUUUCAACAACGGAUCUCA
rnacentral:misc_RNA from 1 species